ACGAACGCUGGCGGCAUGCCUAACACAUGCAAGUCGAACGAGACCUUCGGGUCUAGUGGCGCACGGGUUCGUAACGCGUGGGAACCUGCCCUUAGGUUCGGAAUAACUCCCCGAAAGGGGUGCUAAUACCGGAUAAUGUCUUCGGACCAAAGAUUUAUCGCCUUUGGAUGGGCCCGCGUUGGAUUAGCUAGUUGGUAGGGUAAAAGCCUACCAAGGCGACGAUCCAUAGCUGGUCUGAGAGGAUGAUCAGCCACACUGGGACUGAGACACGGCCCAGACUCCUACGGGAGGCAGCAGUGGGGAAUAUUGGACAAUGGGCGAAAGCCUGAUCCAGCAAUGCCGCGUGAGUGAUGAAGGCCUUAGGGUUGUAAAGCUCUUUUACCCGGGAUGAUAAUGACAGUACCGGGAGAAUAAGCUCCGGCUAACUCCGUG
rnacentral:rRNA from 1 species